rnacentral:tRNA from 2 species
CGGGAUGUGGCUCAGCUUGGUAGAGCACCACGUUCGGGACGUGGGGGUCGCAGGUUCAAAUCCUGUCAUCCCGACCA